rnacentral:rRNA from 1 species
CCCUUAGAUGUUCUGGGCUGCACGCGCGCUACACUGAAGCGUUCAACGAGUAUUCACCUUGCCCGGGAGGGUUGGGUAAUCUUUUGAAAACGCUUCGUGAUGGGGAUAGAUUAUUGCAAUUAUUAAUCUUCAACGAGGAAUUCCUAGUAAGCGCGAGUCAUCAUAUCGCGCUGAAUACGUCCCUGCCCUUUGUACACACCGCCCGUCGCUCCUACCGAUUGAGCGAUCCGGUAAAUGUUUUGGAUUGGUGCCGGGGCGGCUAGCUGCCGGUCGCUACGAAAUUUUGUGAACCUUAUCGCUUAGAGGAAGGAAAAGUCGUAACA